AAAAAACCUAGCUUCUCUUCAUCUUCUCCAAACACACCCUCAAACCCUAAAACCACCAAGCUCCAAACCCCUCCAACCAUAGCUGCCCUUCCCGUCUUCUUCCUCAUCACCUUCAACCAAAUGAUCUGCAUCGUCCAUCACACCUGAACGACGACCACCAGAUGGACUACAACAAGCCACCAGUCCUCGUCGUUCAGCUCCCCCGCAGCCAGCCACACCAGCAAGUAGCAUCCGAACAACCACGCCAUCGUCUUCCUCAUGUCAUGAACCUGCAGCGACCACCAUCACCUUCAACCAAAUAGUCCGCCAGCCACCUCCCAUCUCCAACCAAAAAACGAUCCAGCCCUGACUCCAUAGCCCAACGACCACCACUGCCAUCUCCACUCUCACGUCCAAACGACCACCCAUGUCGCUAAUCACUCAAACGACCAAAACAGCCCUCGUCGUUGUUCCAUCUCUACGAGUUUUAGUACAUGUUUUUCCGUCGAGAUCGUUGUUCCUGAAGGUAAUGUCAUUGUUUUCCGGUUCGAGUUCCGUCCUGAGUUUGAAAUUUCCGGGCAGAUUCAAGUUAUUGUGGUUUUAAAGUUUCCGGGCAGAUUUGUUUCCGUUCGAGUUCGGCGUUAUUCCGAUCUGGUUAGUUGGUUUAAGUUUCAUUUCUGUCCGUAUUUUGUUCGAUAUUCUCGGAUCUGAAAUCAGUAUAUGUUUGAUUUUUUUCUUGUUCGUUGUUUAUCAUUUAUUGAUUAUUUCUUCAGUUUAUUUUUAUUCAUUUAAAAGAAUUUAGUUUUAAUAUAGAAAUGUUUUAGUUUAUUCACUUGAAUAUUUUAUCUUGAUUGUAAUGUUAUUAGAUUUAAUUUGAAGUUCAAUUGAUUAUUGAGUUUAGUGAUUUGAAUCUGUUUUAUUGUUGUGUUAAGUCUAUAUUUAGAUCUAAGUUAGAGAUUUAAAUUUGUUUGUUUGAUCUGUUAAGUUUAAUUUCAAUCUGAGUUUAGUGAUUGGAGUCUACUUAUUUGAUAUGUUCAAUUUUAUUAUUCUUGUUGAAUCUGAAAGUAUGUUUGUUAAGAAUGUUGUUCAAAAUAAUUUUUAGUUGGUUCUUUGUUGUUCAUCAUAUAAUUUGAAUUUGAUUAAGAAUUGGUUAUAGUUGCUAUAUUUUGGUUAAUUGAUUUAAGUGAAUUGGUUAUAGCUGAUAGGGGUAGAAUAGUAAUUUUCAGUAAUUUCGGGGGGUAUUUUUCGAAUUUUAAAUUUGGACAAAUAUUUAAUUUAAGUACUUUGUCCACUAGAUUAAAGUAUUAUUAAAAUAAUAUAGUGAGGAAUAAGAUAUUUUAUAGUGGGAAUCCAAUAUAUUUAUGUAAGUAGUGGUGGGGGACAAGACAUAAUUAUGUAAAGUAAAAAGGGUAAUAAUGUGCUCUUCUUUGACCACUGAAAAAGGGGAGACUGUGGGACCCGUGUUGACUACUUUUUGCUUAAUUAAAAUCAGAAAUAGUAUAGGUAAUAAUAAAAGGUUAAAAAGUCACAUAGUUAGAAGAAUAUGGGGUGGAAAUUAAAUGAGGUAAAAUGGUUAGUAAUAAUAGUUUAAAAGUAAAAGUUAAUAGUUAAAAUAAUAGAGGAAAGAGUCUUGCUUUGGAUAUAUAAUAAGACUCAUUUUAACACUUAAAGGGGGACUGGAAUUUGGAGAUAAAUAUUUCAGAACUGGAGGGAAGAUAAAAAAGACUAUGGAGUCUUAAGAAUUUUUGAGUGUUUGAAAGUUAGAAAUUAAAGAAAAAUAUGUUCUUCUUCAUUGUUAACAAUUAACAUCAAUUGCUAUUGUUCAUUAAAGUUUCAAGCUUCUUUUUCUUGAGUGAUAAAAAAUCAGAAGUUAUUUUUUGGCAACUAGAUACUUCUUUGUUGAUCUGGUUCGUUUUCUAGUAUUACUGGCAUUCAAGUAGAGUUGCUUGGGUUUAUUCUUUGUUGGUUUUACAAUUUGGAAGUUCUUGGUUUUCUUGUUUGGUUGCAAUCUCCUGGGUUUUCUCCUAUUUCCGCUAUUACUGGGCUACUCCCAUGUUGUUGAAUUGCUGUUGCUGUGUGUGUGUUCUGCUAUUGCUUCCUACUGAUCUUCCUCUUCUUUGUAUCCCAAUACCAGGUACACCACUUUGAAUCACUUUGAUGUACGCCUUGAAGAUGAAAUGAAA
rnacentral:lncRNA from 1 species